rnacentral:rRNA from 1 species
CAAUUUUGCCCUUAGAGUUUGAUCCUGGCUCAGGAUGAACGCUAGCUACAGGCUUAACACAUGCAAGUCGAGGGGAAACGACAUCGAAAGCUUGCUUUUGAUGGGCGUCGACCGGCGCACGGGUGAGUAACGCGUAUCCAACCUGCCCACAACUUGGGGAUAACCUUGCGAAAGUAAGACUAAUACCCAAUGAUAUCUCUAGAAGACAUCUGAAGGAGAUUAAAGAUUUAUCGGUGAUGGAUGGGGAUGCGUCUGAUUAGCUUGUUGGCGGGGUAACGGCCCACCAAGGCGACGAUCAGUAGGGGUUCUGAGAGGAAGGUCCCCCACAUUGGAACUGAGACACGGUCCAAACUCCUACGGGAGGCAGCAGUGAGGAAUAUUGGUCAAUGGGCGAGAGCCUGAACCAGCCAAGUAGCGUGCAGGAUGACGGCCCUAUGGGUUGUAAACUGCUUUUAUAAGGGAAUAAAGUGAGUCUCGUGAGACUUUUUGCAUGUACCUUAUGAAUAAGGACCGGCUAAUUCCGUGCCAGCAGCCGCGGUAAUACGGAAGGUCCGGGCGUUAUCCGGAUUUAUUGGGUUUAAAGGGAGCGUAGGCCGGAGAUUAAGCGUGUUGUGAAAUGUAGACGCUCAACGUCUGCACUGCAGCGCGAACUGGUUUCCUUGAGUACGCACAAAGUGGGCGGAAUUCGUGGUGUAGCGGUGAAAUGCUUAGAUAUCACGAAGAACUCCGAUUGCGAAGGCAGCUCACUGGAGCGCAACUGACGCUGAAGCUCGAAAGUGCGGGUAUCGAACAGGAUUAGAUACCCUGGUAGUCCGCACGGUAAACGAUGGAUGCCCGCUGUUGGUCUGAAUAGGUCAGCGGCCAAGCGAAAGCAUUAAGCAUCCCACCUGGGGAGUACGCCGGCAACGGUG